rnacentral:lncRNA from 1 species
UCCCAGGCUUAUUCAGUCGCUCUGCCUGCAUUUACAGCACAUAUGCAAUUGUAAUAAACACUCGCAAAGAAUAAAUGAGGUGUCAGCUUUAUUUGCCAAGGAGAUUCCCAGCUGCGACGUUAAGUUGAUUUCGCGUCUGCGAAACGGUCACAACCCACAACUUCCCAAAAUAGACCAGAAAAGCCGCAGCCCAGUCCUUCCUUCGCGUGUUCAAAAUUCAACACCGUGGAGCUAUGAGGACGCACAAUAAUAAUAAACAGCGCGUUUCUCCCGAGUGUUUUAUCCAUUUCACCCCUUACUUUGGAACUGCAACGAGCUCAAGCGCACAGCCUAAUAAAGGAUAAGCGCCGCCGUUACACCAACUCGCUACUUUUACAGCAGCACUGUUUUCAAAGGCGCGUUUGAGGCAUUUCGCGCGAGCAUUUCGGAAGGAAAGUUAUUCCAUCAUGAUUAUAAUACCUCAGAGAGCAGCAUGCAUCCAUUAUAAAUGAGAUCUAAGAAGACAUUGUGGACCGUCAUGCCCUAACUAAGAGUAAGACGGGAUCGAAAUAAUAGCAGCGAUGCCUACCUUCGCAGCAUUAUCAGUGUUUCAGAUAAGAGAUCAUCAUAAAGGGGGAAAAGCAGCUGAAGAACGGCUUCGUCCCCGGUCAGUCACCAUCUGCAUGGGCAAAGGUGAAAGACGGCGCGGGACAGCGCCUGAUGAUGGAAACACCACCACAAAAGAAGAAGACGUUUCGACGGGAGCGUCACGCGAGCCCGCGCUCCUACGUCAGUUUGGGCUCUCGCUGCACCUGAGGCCACGAUGGUUUCUCCCGUGUCAAAUCUCUUAUCCUCUCAUCAGCAAGAAGUUCUGGCGAUGCAGAGAAAAACAAUGCUGCAUAAUGUUAUGA